CAGUCGCCGCGGUAAUACAGAGGGUGCAAGCGUUAAUCGGAUUUACUGGGCGUAAAGGGCGCGUAGGCGGUUAUUUAAGUGAGAUGUGAAAGCCCCGGGCUUAACCUGGGAACUGCAUCUUAUACUGGGUAACUGGAGUGCAGUAGAGGGUAGUGGAAUUUCCGGUGUAGCGGUGAAAUGCGUAGAGAUCGGGAGGAACAUCAGUGGCGAAGGCGGCCAUCUGGGACAACACUGACGCUCAUGUACGAAAGCGUGGGGAGCAAACAGGAUUAGAUACCCGAGUAGUCCCUGUCUCUUAUAC
rnacentral:rRNA from 1 species